CAGCCGCCGCGGGAAUACGAAGGGGGCUAGCGUUGCUCGGAAUGACUGGGCGUAAAGGGCGCGUAGGCGGAUGGUACAGUCAGAUGUGAAAUUCCUGGGCUUAACCUGGGGGCUGCAUUUGAUACGUAUUGUCUAGAGUGAGGAAGAGGGUCGUGGAAUUCCCAGUGUAGAGGUGAAGUUCGUAGAUAUUGGGAAGAACACCGGUGGCGAAGGCGGCGACCUGGUCCUUGACUGACGCUGAGGCGCGAAAGCGUGGGGAGCAAACAGGAUUAGAUACCCCCGUAGUCCCUGUCUCUUAUAC
rnacentral:rRNA from 1 species